rnacentral:rRNA from 1 species
UACCUACGGGGGGCAGCAGUGAGGAAUAUUGGUCAAUGGUCGGGAGACUGAACCAGCCAAGCCGCGUGAGGGAUGAAGGUACAGAGUAUCGUAAACCUCUUUUGUCAGGGAACAAAGGCGGGGACGUGUCCCCGGAUGAGUGUACCUGAAGAAAAAGCAUCGGCUAACUCCGUGCCAGCAGCCGCGGUAAUACGGAGGAUGCGAGCGUUAUCCGGAUUUAUUGGGUUUAAAGGGUGCGCAGGCGGCCUGUUAAGUCAGUGGUAAAAACCCGGGGGUCAACCCCGGCGAGCCGUUGAAACUGGCGG